CUACUACUCCCUCCGUUCCGAAUUACUUAUCUUAGAUUUGUCUAGAUACAGAGUUAUCUAGCACUAAAAUGAGUCCAGAUACAUUCGUAUCUAGAAAAAUCCAAGACAAGUAAUUCAGAACAGAGGGAGUAGGAU
rfam:Triticum urartu cultivar G1812 contig158905, whole genome shotgun sequence.